UGUGUAGGCGGCUUGUUAAGUUCCGUGUGAAAUCUCCUGGCUCAACUGGGAGGGUGCGCGGAAAACUGGCGGGCUAGAGUGCGGGAUGGGAGAGUAGAAUUCCUGGUGUAGCGGUGAAAUGCGUAGAUAUCAGGAGGAAUACCGGUGGUGUAGACGGCUCUCUGGACCGUAACUGACGCUGAGACACGAAAGCGUGGGUAGCAAACAGGAUUAGAUACCCUGGUAGUCCACGCCCUAAACGAUGCAUAUUUGGUGUAGGUCAUUCAGUUGAUCUGUGCCGGAGCUAACGCGUUAAAUAUGCCGCCUGGGGAGUACAGUCGCAAGGCUGAA
rnacentral:rRNA from 1 species